rnacentral:tRNA from 1 species
CAAAACGUAGCUAAAUUAGUAAAGCGCCUCCCUUACACCGAGGAAAAAUCCGUGCAACUCGGGUCAUUUUGA